GAACUGAGACACGGUCCAAACUCCUACGGGAGGCAGCAGUGAGGAAUAUUGGUCAAUGGUCGGCAGACUGAACCAGCCAAGUCGCGUGAGGGAAGACGGCCCUACGGGUUGUAAACCUCUUUUGUCGGAGAGUAAAGUACGCUACGUGUAGCGUAUUGCAAGUAUCCGAAGAAAAAGCAUCGGCUAACUCCGUGCCAGCAGCCGCGGUAAUACGGAGGAUGCGAGCGUUAUCCGGAUUUAUUGGGUUUAAAGGGUGCGUAGGCGGCACGCCAAGUCAGCGGUGAAAUUUCCGGGCUCAACCCGGAGUGUGCCGUUGAAACUGGCGAGCUAGAGUACACAAGAGGCAGGCGGAAUGCGUGGUGUAGCGGUGAAAUGCAUAGAUAUCACGCAGAACCCCGAUUGCGAAGGCAGCCUGCUAGGGUGAAACAGACGCUGAGGCACGAAAGCGUGGGUAUCGAACAGGAUUAGAUACCCUGGUAGUCCACGCAGUAAACGAUGAAUACUAACCG
rnacentral:rRNA from 1 species